UAGUGUAUUGGACAACCAUGGCGGUCACGGGUAACGGAGAAUUAGGGUUCGAUUCCGGAGAGGGAGCCAGAGAAACGGCUACCACAUCUAAGGAAGGCAGCAGGCGCGUAAAUUACCCAAUCCCGAUUCGGGGAGGUAGUGACAAGAAAUAACAACUCGGGCGGCGCAAGCCGUUGCGAGAUUGCAAUGAGUACAAUUUAAAUCACUUAACGAGUAACAAUUGGAGGGCAAGUCUGGUGCCAGCAGCCGCGGUAAUUCCAGCUCCAAUAGCGUAUAUUAAAGUUGUUGCAGUUAAAAAGCUCGUAGUCGAAGUUCUGACUGGUCCCGUUUCCGGCUUCGGUCGACUCGGGACCUAGUCAUCCGUCGGAGAACCUUUGUCGUCCUUCACUGGUCGCUUAGGGGAACCGACCCUUUACUUUGAAAAAAUUAGAGUGUUCAAGGCAGGCCAUCGCCCGAAUACUCCAGCAUGGAAUAAUGGAAUAGGACUUUGUUCUAUUUUGUUGGUUAUUAGAAUAAAGUAAUGAUUAAUAGGGACAGUUGGGGGCAUUCGUACUUAAUUGUCAGAGGUGAAAUUCUUGGAUUUAUUAAAGACGAACUAAUGCGAAAGCAUUUGCCAAGGAUGUUU
rnacentral:rRNA from 1 species